UUUAAAUUGUAAAUUAUUUUUAUGUAGAGUAGCUUUUUAUUUAUUGAUUUUUUAAAAAUUUAUAGGUUAAUUUUAAAUUAGGUAGUAUUAGGUAUGAUCUUGAAACUUUAAGAAUUUGACGGUAAUUCAUUCAUUUUAGAGGAACUUGUUUUUUAAUUGAUAUUCCACGAUAAAAUUUACCUAUUUUAUUUUGUUUGUAUAUCGUCGUUUAAAAAAAAUUUUUUUAGAACUAAUUUAAUUUUUUAAAUAUAAUUUUAAUUAUAUUAAUUCAGAUCAAGGUGCAGCUAUUUAUUUAGGUUAAAAUGAGUUACAAUAAAUUUAAUUUAUUACGGAUUUUAAAAUUAAAUUUUUAAAUUAAGGUGGAUUUAAAAGU
rnacentral:rRNA from 1 species